rfam:Myotis brandtii contig201368, whole genome shotgun sequence.
GGAGGUUCUUGAGUGACACACCCCGGAGUUGGGCUCCUUCCUCUCUGGUUCCGGAUGCAUUUCCCAAGAACCACA